rnacentral:rRNA from 1 species
UACGGGGGGGGCAAGCGUUGUUCGGAAUUACUGGGCGUAAAGGGCUCGUAGGCGGCCAACUAAGUCAGACGUGAAAUCCCUCGGCUUAACCGGGGAACUGCGUCUGAUACUGGAUGGCUUGAGUUUGGGAGAGGGAUGCGGAAUUCCAGGUGUAGCGGUGGAAAUGCGUAGAUAUCUGGAGGAACACCGGUGGCGAAGGCGGCAUCCUGGACCAACACUGACGCUGAGGAGCGAAGCCAGGGAGCAAACGGG